UAAACAGCUGUGAAAUAUAGGAGUAAUGAGCAUUUAUGGAGUUAUUCAUGCACCUGAAGUGAAGAGCACCCUUCCUAUUCCACGAGCGUUCCGGUGUACUCCGACUGGGGUUUUUGUACUGAUGAUUGUGGAUGGCGAGCCGAGCCCUGGACUUGAUCGAAGAGACUUGGAACGUUGGGAUGCGAAUGGACUGAACUUCAUCUUCAGUGCAGCCAAGACUUGUGGAACCAGAUAAGAUAGACCUUCAUAACUCACUACCCAGGUUGUCCAUCUCCCUGCCAUCCCGUAACAAUGUCACCACCAAAACCCAGAGAUUUUGUCUGUGGGUGGAGCCUAUCGUCUUAGCCACGCCCCUACACAUUAGCACAGGAAGUGAGGCUGCAUCCCUGUCCCUCAUGGCCACAUGGUGAGCAGUUAGAUCCCAUUGUUUUGAAGUGAAUGUGUCCCAAAGUCUGGAAAUCGGUCUGGAAUGUUAAGAAUU